rnacentral:misc_RNA from 1 species
GCCUGGCCUACAUUAUAAUUAGGUGAAUGGUGAAUGUCAUAGACAUGAUUAAUAUCGAUCAAUGAGAGGAAGUCUAGGAUAGGAGGAUGAGAACAAAAGAUACAAGACCUUACCAUGACCAUUGAUGAUAUCAUGGAGGAACUGAAAAAUGCUCAUGGUGUUAUUGAUGCCCGUGAGUCCAGUAUCAACAGUUUAGAGUAUAACCUCACCAAUGAGAGAGGGAGGAUCAAGGAACUGACCAAAAGGAUGCCGUCACUAGAGACCAGACUAUCAGAAAUAAUGGAGGAGACCAGCUCAGUGAAGACACAGCUGGAGGAGAAGUCUACACAUCAAAGGCCCGGCCCUUCACUGGUUUCUGUAUAUUACAUACUUUGUGGCUUCUAUGAUGAUAUAAAAGUGGUAGACAGUAGGAGCUGAACUCAUUACAAUAGAGAAACAAUUAAAAUCAAUAAUAAUGGGAUCAGUAGUCCUAAGAAGAACAAUACUAAUUUAUCGCGAUGGGAGCUUGGUAUUGGAAAAUGGUGCUAAUUGGAUCUCUUUGAGUUUGCUCCGGAUACUUACUGGUCAUUUUUUAAAUACUAAGAUAUAUGGUAGGAUUACUACUGAUCAAGUAUUGGUAAAGAGAGCUAUGGAUCAGAUUAAUGAAGAAUUUCCUAAUACUUUCUGCAGUACAUCUCCUCCUACACAAUUAAUAAUAGCAACAUGGAUAGAUUAUCUGAAGUUUGGCUCAAACUCAGGCAGUAACUUCCAGUUAAUAGUUGUAUCUGGUAGAUGCAAUACAUUUGGUAUUGCCUUUUUAUGUAAAUGUGAGCAUUACAUCAGCUGAUACUGGAUUAGCUUCAUUUAUUGAAGGUGAACAUGUACCCCCUGAUCCUACUUUCUUUCCAUUUGGUACUACUGUCAUGGAUGCCCCUACUAUGAUGCUUAAUAGUACCAUACCAGGGACAUAUAUAUUUUCUCUGAAUCAUAUGCCACCAAAUCCUUGCAAUGUAUGUAAAUCUAAGCUUCUCAAGAUGGCAUGUGAAGCUAUGAGGAGGAUUAAUGGUAAAAAACUACCAGCUCCUUGUCAUAACUAAUAAUCAUUCAAUUUUAUUGUGUUUUUGUGAUUGUUUUUGUAAUUAAAUAUUUUGAGUAGUGAAUUAUUCAAUUUUAAUAGCAGAGACUAGAGAUAUAGCUGUUAUGCAUUAUUUUUUGUCAUGGAUUAUUUUAAUUGUUGUAACAAAUAAAUGUCAGACAAG